GGGGGAUUAGCUCAGUUGGCUAGAGCGCUACAAUGGCAUUGUAGAGGCCAUCGGUUCGAAUCCGAUAUUCUCCACCC
rnacentral:tRNA from 1 species